UCUUCAGAUACGAUGGACUUGUCACAGAUCGAAAUAUCCGUACUUAGUAUUCCUGAAAUUCGUCCUCAGAAAAUCCCAUACCAAAUUUGUCCAGAUCCGAAUGCUAUAAUUUGGAGAUCAAAGCCAACAAAAAAGUAAAGACAGGAGAGAGCAUCAUAUGCAGAGAGCUCAAGAUCUUCAUUGUCUAGCUACAUAUAUACAAAUGAACAUUGUAAAACAAGACAUUUCCAGCUAUUAUUUCUCCUUGGUAGAAAUUUAAUAAAAACUGAGGAGUGAGGAGUGUUCU